UGAGGAAUAUUGGUCAAUGGGCGGGGAGCCUGAACCAGCCAAGUCGCGUGAGGGAAGACGGUCCUAUGGAUUGUAAACCUCUUUAGGCGGGGGAGCAAUGCCGGGCACGCGUGCCCGGAGGGAGAGUACCCGCAGAAUAAGCAUCGGCUAACUCCGUGCC
rnacentral:rRNA from 1 species